CCGUAGCAAACAGCUCAGUAACACGUGGCCAAACUACCCUCUGGACGCGGACACCCUCGGGAAACUGAGGCUAAUCCGCGAUACGGCUCCCACGCUGGAAUGCGGGGAGCCGGAAAGGCUCCGGCGCCAGAGGAUGUGGCUGCGGCCGAUUAGGUAGACGGUGGGGUAACGGCCCACCGUGCCCAUAAUCGGUACGGGAUGUGAGAGCAAAUAGCCCGGAGAUGGAUUCUGAGACAAGAAUCCAGGCCCUACGGGGCGCAGCAGGCGCGAAACCUUUACACUGCACGCCAGUGCGAUAAGGGGACCCCGAGUGCGAGGGCAUACAGUCCUCGCUUUUGUACACCGUAAGGAGGUGUACGAAUAAGGGCUGGGCAAGACCGGUGCCAGCCGCCGCGGUAAUACCGGCAGCCCGAGUGAUGGCCGCUGUUAUUGGGCCUAAAGCGUCCGUAGCCGGCCGAACAAGUCUGUCGGGAAAUCCAUCCGCCUAACGGAUGGGCGUCCGGCAGAAACUGUUCGGCUUGGGGCCGGAAGAUCCGAGGGGUACGUCCGGGGUAGGAGUGAAAUCCCGUAAUCCUGGACGGACCGCCGGUGGCGAAAGCGCCUCGGAA
rnacentral:rRNA from 1 species